rnacentral:rRNA from 1 species
UACGUAGGGUGCAAGCGUUGUCCGGAAUUACUGGGCGUAAAGAGCUCGUAGGCGGUUUGUCACGUCGUCUGUGAAAUCCCGCAGCUCAACUGCGGGCUUGCAGGCGAUACGGGCAGACUUGAGUACUGCAGGGGAGACUGGAAUUCCUGGUGUAGCGGUGAAAUGCGCAGAUAUCAGGAGGAACACCGGUGGCGAAGGCGGGCCAUCUGGGGACGG